rnacentral:tRNA from 1 species
UUUAAAUAGUUUAAGUUUAGAACACAGCUUUGAAGAAGCUUAAGUAGAUAAAAUCUUUUAAAAGA